GGCGAACUUACCCAAUUGAAUCAGGGCAAU
rnacentral:tRNA from 1 species